UACGUAGGGUGCAGGCGUUAAUCGGAAUUACUGGGCGUAAAGCGUGCGCAGGCGGUUUGUUAAGACAGAUGUGAAAUCCCCGAGCUUAACUUGGGAAUUGCGUUUGUAACUGGCAAGCUAGAGUGUAGCAGAGGGGGGUAGAAUUCCACGUGUAGCAGUGAAAUGCGUAGAUAUGUGGAGGAAUACCGAUGGCGAAGGCAGCCCCUGGGUUAACACUGACGCUCAUGCACGAAAGCGUGGGGAGCAAACAGGAUUAGAUACC
rnacentral:rRNA from 1 species